rnacentral:misc_RNA from 1 species
GAUGAAGAACGCAGCGAAAUGCGAUACGUAAUGUGAAUUGCAGAACUCAGUGAAUCAUCGAAUCUUUGAACGCAUAUUGCGCUCUCUGGUAUUCCGGAGAGCAUGCUUGUUUGAGUAUCAGUAAACACCUCAACUCCCUUUUCUUUUUUGAAAUUGGAGCUGGACUUGAGUGAUCCCAACGCUUUCUUCCAAGAAAGUGGCGGGUUGCUUGAAAUGCAGGUGCAGCUGAACUUUUCUCUGAGCUAUAAGCAUAUCUAUUUAGUCUGCCUAAAAAACAGAUUAUUACCUUUGCUGCAGCUAACAUAAAGGAGACUAGUUCUUGUGCUGACUGAUGCAGGAUUCACAGAGACAGCUUCGGCUGACUUUGUAAACUCGAUCUCAAAUCAAGUAAGACUACCCGCUGAACUUAAGCAUAUCAAUAAGCGGAGGA